GACGAACGCUGGCGGCACGCUUAAAACAUGCAAGUCGAACGUGAAGCCCGGGCUUGCCCGGGUGGAAAGCGGCGAACGGGUGCGUAACACGUGAGCAACCUGCCCCGAAGACCGGGAUAACACCGGGCAACCGGUGCUAAUACCGGAUGUCUUCACCAUGUCGCAUGGCGAGGGGCAGAAAUGGAUUCCGCUUCGGGAUGGGCUCGCGGCCUAUCAGCUUGUUGGUGGGGUAACGGCCUACCAAGGCAACGACGGGUAGCUGGUCUGAGAGGAUGUCCAGCCACACUGGGACUGAGACACGGCCCAGACUCCUACGGGAGGCAGCAGUUAGGAAUCUUACGCAAUGGGCGAAAGCCUGACGCAGCGAUGCCGCGUGCGGGAUGAAGGCCCUCGGGUCGUAAACCGCUUUCAGCAGGGACGAUUGUGACGGUACCUGCAGAAGAAGCCCCGGCCAACUACGUGCCAGCCGCCGCGGUAACAC
rnacentral:rRNA from 1 species